GAGUCAUAAAAAGGAAUGGAAGAAUGGAGCAGCAGCUCCGGCGGUGACCUCCUGCAGCAACCACACCGUUUCCCGGCAACCAGAGGCACAACGGGGUUUCUUUGCGGCAGAAACGGCGGUGGCUGGGCGCGGUUAUGCCUCCUCUCCUCUGUAUGACCCGGCGGCUUCCCUCUCGCCGGCACACAGCGGCGGCAUUGCAGCAAGGAGCACAACGGCGGUGCGUAGACCGGCGACGACCCCCAGCAGUGGCGCCGGCAAACCAGUCGCGACGGAGGCAGCAGCAGCUCAGACCACGUCUCUCCAGUCUCCGACGCGAUCUCUCUCUCUCUUCCACCGAUGGUGACGAUGACGGCAAGGACAGAAGUGGCGGCGCGAACACCACAACAGCGGCGGCGAGCUAGUCAGCGGCGCGAGUGACGACGAAGGCCCUACGUUCGGCCUCUCUCUCUCUUCGGCGUCGCUCUCCCCCGGUGAUCUUCCUGCGUGCGACGCAACGCGACAGGUACUGGGUGCUACUCCUCAGCAUCGCGCCUUCUCCCUCCUCUCGGUGACAGAGGCGCGCCACAUGGCUCCAUGGACGGACAGCGAUGGCGGCGCGGAUUGGGUAACGGCAGCAACGUGGCCACCUUCCCCCUUUCUUCUCCGAUCUCCUCUACUCCCCCUCAGAUUCCCCUUUCUUUCUGUUUCUUUCUUUGUGCCGUAUGUUUUGUUAGGAAGGGGAAACAAGGGCGGCUGCUGUUAGAAGG